GUGCUUCCUUCAGCAGCACAUGUACUAAAAUUGGAACAUUGCAGAGAAGAUUAGCAUGGCCCCCAUGCAUGGAUUACACACAAAUUCAUGACACAUUACGUAUUUUU
ensembl:snRNA U6 U6 spliceosomal RNA